GAAAUGCGAUAAGGAAUGUGAAUUGCAGAAUUCAGUGAAUCAUCGAAUCUUUGAACGCACCUUGCGCUCCUUGGUAUUCCGAGGAGCAUGCCUGUUUGAGUGUCUUGAAAUCAUCAAACCCUUGCGGUUUUGUGCUGCAGGGUGAUUGGAGCGUGGGGUCUGCCGUGCCGGCUCCCCGGAAAUGCAUUGGUCGUGCCUUGCGAAAGGGCCCUGAAGAUCGGAUAACUUUGUGGGCGUUGUACCAUCCUCGCUCCUCCGAUUGGCUCGCGCAGCGGCUCUGAUCUCGACCUGCCGGUCAAGUGCGGCGGUCAAUGCACAUUUUCUGAAAUCUGACCUCAAAUCAGGUAGGACUACCCGCUGAACUUAA
rnacentral:misc_RNA from 1 species